UGGUGUCAGCCGCCGCGGUAAUACCAGCACCCCGAGUGGUCGGGACGAUUAUUGGGCCUAAAGCAUCCGUAGCCGGUUCUACAAGUCUUCCGUUAAAUCCAUCUGCUUAACAGAUGGGCUGCGGAGGAUACUAUGGAGCUAGGAGGCGGGAGAGGCAAGCGGUACUUAGUGGGUAGGGGUAAAAUCCGUUGAUCCACUGAAGACCACCAGUGGCGAAGGCGGCUUGCCAGAACGCGCUCGACGGUGAGGGAUGAAAGCUGGGGGAGCAAACCGGAUUAGAUACCCGGGUAGUCCCAGCUGUAAACGAUGCAGACUCGGUGAUGAAUAGGCUUCGUGCCUUUUCAGUGCCGCAGGGAAGCCGUUAAGUCUGCCGCCUGGGGAGUACGGUCGCAAGACUGAAACUUAAAGGAAUUGGC
rnacentral:rRNA from 1 species